rnacentral:rRNA from 1 species
UGCGUAGGCGGGCUAAUAAGUCAGUGGUGAAAUCUCUCGGCUCAACCGGGAAACUGCCAUUGAUACUGUUAGUCUUGAGUUCGGUUGAGGUAGGCGGAAUGUGUAAUGUAGCGGUGAAAUGCUUAGAUAUUACACAGAACACCAAUUGCGUAGGCAGCUUACUAGACCGACACUGACGCUGAGGCACGAAAGCGUGGGGAGCGAACAGGAUUAGAUACCUUGGUAGUC